AUCUUGAAAAUUAAAAAUUUUGGCGGUAUUUUAAUCUAUUCAGAGGAACCUGUUCUAUAAAUGAUAAUCCACGAUUUAAUUUACUUUUAUUAUUAAUUUAUAUAUCGUCGUUAUUUAAAUAUUUUUAAAAAAUUAUAAUAUUUAAAAUUUUUUAUAAAAAAAUAUUUCAGAUCAAGGUAUAGUUUAUAUAAAAGUAGAAAUGGGUUACAAUAAAUAUAUUUUAGAAUUUUUAUUUUUAAAAUUUUAUGAAUUUGGAUUUGAUAGUAAUUUUAAUUAAUUUAUUAAAAUGAUUUUAGUACUAAAAUAUGUACAUAUUGCCCGUCGCUUUCAUUUAAUAUGGAAUAAGUCGUAACAAAGUAGAUUAACUGGAAAGUGAAUCUAGAAACAAAUUAGAGCUUGAGAUAAGCAUUUUAGUUACAUUAAAAAGUUAAUUGGCAAUCAAUUUAAUUUGAAAUAAAAAAUUUAUUAUAUAUAAUAAUUUAUUUAAGUUAAAAAAAAUAAUUUUAAUUUUAUUAUUAUAAUUAGAAAUAAUUAAUUAUAAUUAUAGUUUAUUGUAUUGUGAAAGAAUAUUUUUUAUUGAAUUAAAGAAAAAUUUAUUUUUUGUACCUUGUGUAUCAGGGUUUAUUAAAAUUUUAUAAAAAUUUAUUAUUCUCGAAUUUAAAAGAGCUAAAAAAUUAUAAUUAUUAAUGUUGAAUAAUUAUAUUAAAUAAUUUUUUAGUAGUGAAAUGUUAUUCGUUUUUAAAUAUAUCUAGUUUUUUAAGAAAAAAAUUUAAUUUUUUUACUAUUAAUAUAAUUUUUGAUUUUUUAAUGUUAUAUUUGUAGUAAUUAAUAUUUUUAGGGAUUAGCUUAAAAAUAAAGGUUUAUUAAAAUAAAAAUAAUUAAUUUUUUAGGAUUAGAAAUUUUCAUAAUUUAAAGUAUGUUAUAAUUUAAUUUAAUAAAUUAAGAUUUUUAUAAUUUAUAAAUUUAUAUAUUAAAAUAUAAUUUUUAAUUUAAUAAAUUUAGUAAAAAUGAUGAAAUUAGUAUAAUUUUUUUAUAAUAAUAAAAUUAAAAUUUAGGUUAAUUAAAGGAAUUCGGCAAAAUAAUUUUCACCUGUUUAAUAAAAACAUGUCUUUUUGGUAUUAAUUUAAGGUUUAACCUGCCCAAUGAAAAAUUAAAUGGCCGCAGUAUUUUGACUGUGCUAAGGUAGCAUAAUCAUUAGUUUUUUAAUUAAAAGCUGGAAUGAAGGGUUGGAUGAGAAAUUAACUGUCUCUAAUUUAUUUAAUUAGAAUUUUAUUUUUAAGUUAAAAAGCUUAAAUUUAUUUAAAAGACGAGAAGACCCUAUAGAGUUUAAUAUCUUUAAUUUAUUAAUAUUUAGAAUUUAA
rnacentral:rRNA from 1 species